UGUUUGGGAAUGCAGCUCUAAGUGGGUGGUAAAUUCCAUCUAAAGCUAAAUAUUGGUGGGAGACCGAUAGCGAACAAGUACCGUGAGGGAAAGAUGCAAAGAACUUUGAAAAGAGAGUUAAAGAGUACCUGAAAUCGCUGAAACGGAAGCGAAGGAAACCAGUGGCAGCUGCGUCAUACUUCCCAGUCCGCGUGCGGUUUGGGCGCUGUGGCCAGCGUGGUCAGGCUUGGUGUGGAUGUUCGGAACCGCGUCGAGAGCGUUGAUCUCGGCAUGUCUGCGAACGUCUGGACCGAGGCUGGCGAAAUGGUUUUCUUUACCCCGUCUUGAAACACGGACC
rnacentral:rRNA from 1 species